CACGUAGGGUGCGAGCGUUGUCCGGAAUUAUUGGGCGUAAAGAGCUCGUAGGCGGUGUGUCGCGUCGGCCGUGAAAACCUGCAGCUUAACUGUGGGCGUGCGGUCGAUACGGGCAUCACUGGAGUUCGGCAGGGGAGACUGGAAUUCUCGGUGUAGCGGUGAAAUGCGUAGAUAUCGAGAGGAACACCUGCGGCGAAGGCGGGUCUCUGGGCCGAUACUGACGCUGAGGAGCGAAAGCGUGGGGAGCGAACAGG
rnacentral:rRNA from 1 species